UUUCGGGCCCAUACCCCAAAAAUGUGGGUUAAUUUCCCUCUUUUACUA
rnacentral:tRNA from 1 species